rnacentral:miRNA from 1 species
CGAGUCAAGGAUGACUUGCCG